rnacentral:rRNA from 1 species
AUUGAACGCUGGCGGCAGGCCUAACACAUGCAAGUCGAGCGGCAGCGGGAAAGCAGCUUGCUACUUUUGCCGGCGAGCGGCGGACGGGUGAGUAAUGCCUGGGAAAUUGCCCAGUCGAGGGGGAUAACAGUUGGAAACGACUGCUAAUACCGCAUACGCCCUACGGGGGAAAGCAGGGGACCUUCGGGCAUUGUGCGAUUGGAUAUGCCCAGGUGGGAUUAGCUAGUUGGUGAGGUAAUGGCUCACCAAGGCGACGAUCCCUAGUUGGUGUGAUAGGAUGAUCAGCGACACUGGAACUGAGACACGGUCCGGACUCGUACGGGGGGCAGCAGUGGGGAGUAUUGCACAAGGGGGUAAACCCUGAUGCAGCCAUGCCGCGUGUGGGAAGAAGGCCUUCGGGUUGUAAAGCACUUUCAGCGAGGAGGAAAGGUUGAUGCCUAAUACGUAUCAACUGUGACGUUACUCGCAGAAGAAGCACCGGCUAACUCCGUGCCAGCCGCCGCCGUAACAC